GACGAACGCUGGCGGCGUGCUUAACACAUGCAAGUCGAGCGGUAAGGCCCUUUCGGGGGUACGACGAGCGGCGAACGGGUGAGUAACACGUGGGUGACCUGCCCUCAGCUCUGGGAUAAGCCUGGGAAACCGGGUCUAAUACCGGAUAUGACUCCAUGACGCAUGUUGUGGGGUGGAAAGCCUUGUGCGGCUGAGGAUCGGGCCCGCGGCCUAUCAGCUUGUUGGU
rnacentral:rRNA from 1 species